rnacentral:rRNA from 1 species
AGGUAACGGCUUACCAAGCCAUUGAUCGGUACGGGUUGUGAGAGCAAGAGCCCGGAGAUGGAACUGAGACAAGGUUCCAGGCCCUACGGGGUGCAGCAGGCGCGAAACCUCCGCAAUGUGAGAAAUCGCGACGGGGGGAUCCCAAGUGCCAUUCUUAACGGGAUGGCUUUUCAUUAGUGUAAAGAGCUUUUGGAAUAAGGGCUGGGCAAGACCGGUGCCAGCCGCCGCGGUAACACCGGCAGCUCUAGUGGUAGCAGUUUUUAUUGGGCCUAAAGCGUCCGUAGCCGGUUUAAUAAGUCUCUGGUGAAAUCCUGUAGCUUAACUGUGGGAAUUGCUGGAGAUACUAUUAGACUUGAGACCGGGAGAGGUUAGAGGUACUCCCAGGGUAGAGGUGAAAUUCUGUAAUCCUGGGAGGACCGCCUGUUGCGAAGGCGUCUAACUGGAACGGUUCUGACGGUGAGGGACGAAAGUUAGGGGCGCGAACCGGAUUAGAUACCCGGGUAGUCCUAACUGUAAACGAUGCGGACUUGGUGUUGGGGUGGCUUUGAGCUGCUCCAGUGCCGAAGGGAAGCUGUUAAGUCCGCCGCCUGGGAAGUACGGUCGCAAGACUGAAACUUAA